rnacentral:rRNA from 1 species
AGCGAACGCUGGCGGCAGGCCUAACACAUGCAAGUCGAGCGCCCGUAGCAAUACGGGAGCGGCAGACGGGAGAGUAACACGUGGGAACGUGCCCUUCAGUUCGGAACAACCCAGGGAAACUUGGGCUAAUACCGGAUACGCCCUUACGGGAAGAUUUAUCGCUGAGGAGCGGCCCGCGUCUGAUUAGCUAGUUGGUGAGGUAACGGCUCACCAAGGCGACGAUCAGUAGCUGGUCUGAGAGGAUGAUCAGCCUCACUGGGACUGAGACACGGCCCAGACUCCUACGGGAGGCAGCAGUGGGGAAUAUUGGACAAUGGGCGCAAGCCUGAUCCAGCCAUGCCGCGUGGGUGAUGAAGGCCCUAGGGUUGUAAAGCCCUUUCGGCGGGAAGAUAAUGACGGUACCGCAGAAGAAGCCCCGCUAACUUCGUGCCAGCCGCCGCUGUAAU